UAAUUCCGUGCCANCMNCCGCGGUAAUACGGGAGUGGCAAGCGUUAUCCGGAAUUAUUGGGCGUAAAGCGUCCGCAGGCGGCCNUGUAAGUCUGNNGUUAAAGCGUGGAGCUUAACUCCAUUUNAGCNAUGGAAACUACANGGCUUGAGUGUGGUAGGGGCAGAGGGAAUUCCCUGUGUUGCGGUGAUAUGC
rnacentral:rRNA from 1 species